GAUGAACGUUGGCGACGUGCCUAACACAUGCAAGUCGAGCGGAGAAGAAGAGAGUGAACUUUUCGGAUUUAACUUUUUUCGGAUCAGGGGCGGAGGGGUGAGUAUACCUUAAGGACCUUGCCCUCUACAGGGGGAUAGCGGGGGGAACCGGCAAUUAUUCCCCUAUCAAACAACAAAAGGGAAUGCUUUUAGGUUUAAAGAUUUACCGGUAGACGAUGCCUCCAUAACCCAUUAGCUAGUUGGUGUUUUACCAGACCACCAAGGCGACGAUGGGUAGCCGGCUGGAGAGAGUGAACGGCCACAUUGGAACUGAGACACGGUCCAGACUCCUACGGGAGGCAGCAGUGGGGAAUAUUGCACAAUGGGGGAAACCCUGAUGCAGCGACGUCGCGUGAGCGAAGAAGGCCUUCGGGUCGUAAAGCUCUGUCCUAUGGGAAGAAAAGGACGGUACCAUAGAAGGAAGCCCCGGCUAACUACGUG
rnacentral:rRNA from 1 species